rnacentral:misc_RNA from 1 species
UGAUCUGUUGAGUUUCAAAUCUAACAAAAUGUGAAGAGAGCGAACAUACAUAAUUUCAGCCAGCAGAAAGCAAUCAGAAAGCUUUUCUGGUCGAUUGGUUGCCAGUAUCUGUUCGACCCUCUGAAUUGAUUGGAUAACACGGAUAUAGGAAUGACCUAGUGGUUUUCAAACUCUACUAAAUAAAAAAUUUAUAAUGCUAAAAAUAAUAAAAAUUGUUUGAAAUUAAAUUUGUAUUUACGCGUAUGAUAAAAUAUUAUUUCAUUGGUUGUGUUUGAAAACAAGUACCUAUAUUGUGACAUGUGCAAAAAAGUGAAAAGACGAAAAUAAAACCCAUGCGAAGCUAAUUUAAUAUUUAAAUUAUGAGCUUUUUAACAAAUUCCAAUAUCCACAAAGAAAGCAAGCAAGAUCCUUGAACGGACGCUAAACCAUUUAACUAACCUCAAUCAUUAGCUGUGCCAACUUCGUCGCACAAAUUACUUUAAUGGAAUCGGAACUUCGCAAACCGGCCAACAAAAGCUACACUUAAUAUGAAUAACAUUGGGGAGAAAAAAUAUAAAGAAACUCUUCUGUCAGUACAAUUUAACGGCAAUGACUUCCAGCCACAAUAGUAGAAGAAAGCAUAAGCCACAUCAAUACAUCAAUAAAAUCAGUCCGUACAUACAAGGAAUGGCAGUUAAAUCAAAAAAUUGGGCCACGUAUCAUUUACUUUCACACUUUUCGGUUCAUUGUACGUCGACAUUGUUACCAUUUUGCAUAUUUAUGCGAAAUACGGCGACAGUGUAUCGGAUAUGGAUAAUCGGCAUACUGGUUUGCAUCAUUUUUCCUUUACACAUAGUUGAUUGUGUGGAUCCAAAGUUUGAUCCAUCGACACGCAUGCGACUAGUUUUAGUACCGGCAGAUGCACAAGUUGGAUCUGUAAUAUAUCGGUUACGUGCCACGGACGAAGAGUUUGACUAUCCACUGACAUUUGAAUUGAUAGGAGAUGCAGCGUCAGCCACUAUUAAAAUUGAAUCACUUCCAUGCACAAAGUACAAUUCUGUUUGCCAAGCAAAUGUCGUGUUACAGCGCCGUUUGGAACCAGGACGCUAUUAUGACUUCCAGGUAUCUGUAAAGGAUACUAAAGGUGGAGUGGCUAGUCAGUUGUGCUCCAUUACUGCCACUAAUUUUACUACACCUCAUGACCUCAUAUUUCCUCACAAGCCGGGUAUAAUCAUGAUUCCCGAGGAUGCAAAGCGUGGUACAGAAUUGGACUAUGUAAUUGCACGGAAAAAUCCACUUUUUCAAAAGCCAGUUUACCUUGAACUAUGGGGCAGUCCUCUUUUUGCCAUAAGGCAAAAAAUUGUAUCCGCAGAGACCACAGAAGGUACCGUGUUUUUGCUGGGGCCACUUGACUUUGAAAAGCAAGCAAUGUAUCAUUUGACUAUAUUAGCUAAUGAUGCAUACGCUGAACCUGGACAAGAUAGUCGAAAUAUAGCAGGCCUCGAAGUAGUAGUCAUUGUGCAAGACGUUCAGGAUCAGCCACCUGUAUUUACGUCAGCUGCACCUGUAACAAAAUUGCCACCCGGUAUUCUUCCGGGCGAUAAGAUACUUAAAGUCCAUGCCGAAGAUGGCGAUAAGGGGAGUCCUCGGGAAGUUCGAUACGGUCUUGUUUCGGAAGGGAAUCCAUUUACUUCCUUUUUUGAUAUUAAUGAUACUAGCGGAGAAAUAUUUUUGAUGCGCCCCCUCGAGGAUAUUGCAGCAAUUACUCAUGUUGGAGACCCAGUCUUGCUCACAGUAAUUGCAGAGGAAGUUAAAGUUGGCCGCAACGAACCUCCUGCUAUGGCUUCAACAGUACAAUUGGCUUUCUUUUUACCUGAACGAACUAACUCGGCUCCUUAUUUCGAAAAUGAUCAUUAUGUAUCGAGAGUGGAUGAAAAUGCACCUCAGGGUACAGCGCUCACAUUCGUCGAUCCUUACGUGCCACGAGUUUAUGAUGAUGAUACCGGAAAAAAUGGUGUUUUCUCUUUAACGUUACUUAAUAAUAAUGGCACUUUUGAAAUUUCACCCAAUGUUGCCGAACGUAGUACAACAUUUUUAAUACGCGUACGAGACAACAUUCUUUUGGAUUAUGAAGAACGUCAUUCUGUAGAAUUCCAAAUAUUAGCACAAGAGUUAGGACCUGCCACAAAUCUUUCAACGACUGUUAACGUCACUGUAUAUAUAAGCGAUGUAAAUGACAAUCCGCCCAUAUUUGAACAGGCGAUAUAUACUGUUGAGCUGCCAGAAAAUAUGACUAUUGGAACAAAAGUGGUCCAAGUUAAAGCAACUGAUGUAGAUUCGAUGGAUCUAGACGGUCAUGUACGGUAUACAGCUAUAUUGGGUUAUUUAAAUACAUCAUUAAACUUAGACGCCGAGACUGGCCUAAUUACAGUAUCCACCAGUAACCAUGGGUUUGAUCGGGAAGUCAUGCCUGAAUAUCAUUUAUAUGUAGAAGCUCGCGACAACGAUGGUACUGGCAAUCGUGCUCAGGUGCCAUUAGUUAUAAAACUAAUAGACGUGAAUGACGAAAGUCCGAUUUUUGAAAAGGACCUGUAUGAAUUUAUAUUAGCUCCAGAUUUGAAAAGCUUUACAUCCCCAGCCAUUAUACAUGCCAUAGAUAAAGACGCAACCGCGCCUAAUAAUGAAGUUCGCUAUGAAAUAAUUAACGGUAACUACGAAAAUAAAUUUAUUUUAGACAAAAUAAGUGGAGAAUUGAAGGUGCGAGAAAAAAUUACACUACGAUCAAAAGUUAGAAAACGACGUCAAACACUGUACCAUACUUAUGGCGAUAUAUUUUUGCUAACGGCGCGUGCAUACGAUUUAGGCGUACCGGUGCGGUUCAGCACGACCUCUAUUCGUAUAUAUCCACCGGAAAGCUUAACACGCACUGUAACUUUUGUGGUGCCAGGGGAAAAUCCUGAAAAAACAAAAACAGAAGAAAUACUUUCAACAAUAACUGGAGGAAAAGUGAUCAUUCAUGAUAUUAGACCGCUACAGCCUGACGAGCCAGGCGCCAAAACAAUUACGGGUGGCAAUGCGGACUCAAUGGAAAGAAGUGUUGUAACAGCCACAGUCCUAUAUGAUAGUACAUCGGUUGUAGAUAUCUCACAGAUACAGCAUCGUUUGUCGCUGCACAAUAGCUCUUAUGCGAUAAUGAAUAACCAUGAUACAGAAAAAACUGACACGCUCUACAAAGCGGAAAAUAAGCUUCUCUUCUGGCUUCUAAUACUGCUGGCUACUUUGGUUGCUCUAACAAUAUUGAUAUUACUAUUAUGCUGCAUUUGUUCUUGGUGUCCGUUAUAUGGAGCUGCGAGGUCGCCGAGUGGAUGGGAAGACGAGAGGCCUGGUCCGCCGAGAAACCAACAGAUUCGCGAACGAAGCCAACACGAUGGGAAUUCCACAAUGGACGUGAGCAAUUUAGCGAAAGCGUAGGAGUUCAUCAAGCUUCCACCAAUGAUGAUAUGAGGCGAUCCAUCCAUUCAGCAGAAGAACAACAAAAGCGUGUGAAAAUUAGAAAUAUCCGCACAACCAAAGAUGAUACAUUUCAUAAUUCCAGAACUAACUUAAUAAAUGAUAGAGAUGUAUUCGUUGAGGAUGU